rnacentral:lncRNA from 1 species
CUGGUUAUUGGCAUAUUCCUAGUGGUCUGUGUUGAUUGGUCUUGACAAAGAGAUGGAACACUUGUACACAGUCUAAUAGCAUGGUUGUAGUCAAGCAUGUCAACAAAUUCAAGUCUUCAUUCUAGGACAUUGAUCUUAGUAUGAGUAGGUCGUUGUGACGAUUUAUUUUUUGAGGGAGUGGCGGUAGCUAGACAUAUCAUAAAUCCAUUCGGCCUUAGUUCAUUU